rnacentral:tRNA from 5 species
GGGUCGUUAGCUCAGCUGGUAGAGCAGCGGACUUUUAAUCCGUUGGUCGCGAGUUCGAAUCUCGCACGGCCUACCA